rnacentral:rRNA from 1 species
UACGAAGGGGGCUAGCGUUGUUCGGAUUUAUUGGGCGUAAAGCGCGUGUAGGCGGUCUUUUAAGUCUGAUGUGAAAGCCCCGGGCUCAACCUGGGAAGUGCAUUGGAUACUGGGAGACUUGAGUACGGGAGAGGGUAGUGGAAUUCCCAGUGUAGGGGUGAAAUCCGUAGAUAUUGGGAGGAACACCGGUGGCGAAGGCGGCUACCUGGACCGAUACUGACGCUGAGACGCGAAAGCGUGGGGAGCAAACAGG